UGGGGAAUAUUGCACAAUGGGCGCAAGCCUGAUGCAGCCAUGCCGCGUGUAUGAAGAAGGCCUUCGGGUUGUAAAGUACUUUCAGCGGGGAGGAAGGUGUUGUGGUUAAUAACCACAGCAAUUGACGUUACCCGCAGAAGAAGCACCGGCUAACUCCGUGCCAGCAGCCGCGGUAAUACGGAGGGUGCAAGCGUUAAUCGGAAUUACUGGGCGUAAAGCGCACGCAGGCGGUCUGUCAAGUCGGAUGUGAAAUCCCCGGGCUCAACCUGGGAACUGCAUCCGAAACUGGCAGGCUUGAGUCUUGUAGAGGGGGGUAGAAUUCCAGGUGUAGCGGUGAAAUGCGUAGAGAUCUGGAGGAAUACCGGUGGCGAAGGCGGCCCCCUGGACAAAGACUGACGCUCAGGUGCGAAAGCGUGGGGAGCAACCA
rnacentral:rRNA from 1 species